rnacentral:rRNA from 1 species
UACGUAGGUGGCAAGCGUUGUCCGGAUUUACUGGGCGUAAAGAGCGCGCAGGCGGUGCGAUCAGUCGAAUGUGAAAGCCCCCGGCUCAACUGGGGAGGGUCAUUCGAUACUGUCGGACUCGAAGGCAGGAGAGGGAAGCGGAAUUCCCGGUGUAGCAGUGAAAUGCGUAGAGAUCGGGAGGAACAUCUGUGGCGAAGGCGGCCAUCUGGACCAGCACUGACACUGAGGCACGAAAGCGUGGGGAGCAAACAGG